UUGAGCGGAGUGCGGUGAAAAUUGCAUGCUCCGUUUUUAGGGGACGGCGGCGCAGCAAUGCGCUGCUGUUACCCGAC
rnacentral:ncRNA from 1 species